rnacentral:misc_RNA from 1 species
GUAGGUGAACCUGCGGAAGGAUCAUUAACACGUAUCCAACGUUAAAACCCCCGUGAACUUUCAGCCUGCUCUUGUAGCCCAUGUGUCGCAGCAAUCCCGGUAAAUCAAGUGGGAGGAAAGUUGUUGAUUCGGGACCUCUGUGCAUAUGCGAUAAGUUACAAUUGAGCGGUAGAAGCAGUGGCAUGGCGCCCCAAGGUGGCGAGUUGAAUUGGAAAGUGUCAACUCGAGGAUCCACUGUAAGGAAUAACGCUUCUCGGUUGCCAGAGGUCCUCACGACCGGCAGACAUGUCACAGGGUCACCGCGCCCCUAAAAACUUCUCUGAACCGUUAAAGCCUCAUGAUGAAAGUCUGGGGAAAAAAAAACCGAACAACUGUUAACAAUGGAUAUCUUGGUUCUC